GAUGAACGCUGGCGGCGUGCCUAAUACAUGCAAGUCGAGCGAACAGACGAGGAGCUUGCUCCUCUGACGUUAGCGGCGGACGGGUGAGUAACACGUGGAUAACCUACCUAUAAGACUGGGAUAACUUCAGGAAACCGGAGCUAAUUCCGGAUAAUAUAUUGAACCGCAUGGUUCAAUAGUGAAAGACGGUUUUGCUGUCACUUAUAGAUGGAUCCGCGCCGCAUUAGCUAGUUGGUAAGGUAACGGCUUACCAAGGCAACGAUGCGUAGCCGACCUGAGAGGGUGAUCGGCCACACUGGAACUGAGACACGGUCCAGACUCCUACGGGAGGCAGCAGUAGGGAAUCUUCCGCAAUGGGCGAAAGCCUGACGGAGCAACGCCGCGUGAGUGAUGAAGGUCUUCGGAUCGUAAAACUCUGUUAUUAGGGAAGAACAAAUGUGUAAGUAACUAUGCACGUCUUGACGGUACCUAAUCAGAAAGCCACGGCUAACUACGUG
rnacentral:rRNA from 1 species